CACCUACGGGAGGCAGCAGUUAGGAAUAUUGGACAAUGGGCGAAAGCCUGAUCCAGCCAUGCCGCGUGUGUGAUGAAGGCCCUAGGGUUGUAAAGCACUUUCGUUGGGGAUGAUAAUGACCGUACCCAAAGAAGAAGCACCGGCUAACUUCGUGCCAGCAGCCGCGGUAAUACGAAGGGUGCAAGCGUUGUUCGGAAUCACUGGGCGUAAAGAAUGCGUAGGCGGCUUAACAAGUCAGAAGUGAAAUCCCAAGGCUCAACCUUGGAACUGCUUUUGAAACUGUUUUGCUAGAGUCCCGGAGGGGUUAGCGGAAUUCCGAGUGUAGAGGUGAAAUUCGCAGAUAUUCGGAGGAACACCAGUGGCGAAGGCGGCUAACUGGACGGGAACUGACGCUGAGGCAUGAAAGUGUGGGGAUCAAACAGGAUUAGAUACCCUGGUAGUCCACACCGUAAACGAUGUGUGCUAGUUGUCGGGCAGCUUUGCUGUUCGGUGACGGAGCUAACGUUUAAGCAC
rnacentral:rRNA from 1 species